rnacentral:misc_RNA from 1 species
GAUGAAGAACGUAGCGAAAUGCGAUAAGUAAUGUGAAUUGCAGAAUUCAGUGAAUCAUCGAAUCUUUGAACGCACAUUGCGCCCCUUGGUAUUCCAUGGGGCAUGCUUGUUCGAGCGUCAUUUGUACUCUCAAGCUUUGCUUGGUGUUGGGUGUUUGUCCUUUCCCUGCGUCUGGACUCGCCUCAAAUUCAUUGGCAGCCGUUGUAUUGGUUUGAAGCGCAGCACAAUUUGCGAUUCUGGCUUGUAUCAUCAGCGUCCAUUAAGCACAAUUAACACUUUUGACCUCGGAUCAAGUAGGGAUACCCGCUGAACUUAAGCAUAUCAAUAAGCGGAGGA